rnacentral:rRNA from 1 species
GAUGAACGCUGGCUACAGGCUUAACACAUGCAAGUCGAGGGGAAACGACGGGGAAGCUUGCUUCCCCGGGCGUCGACCGGCGCACGGGUGAGUAACGCGUAUCCAACCUGCCUCUGACUGAGGGAUAACCCGUCGAAAGUCGGCCUAAUACCUCAUGGUAUCGUCUGCGGGCAUCCAACGACGAUUAAAGAUUUCAUCGGUCAGGGAUGGGGAUGCGUCUGAUUAGCUUGUUGGCGGGGUAGCGGCCCACCAAGGCUACGAUCAGUAGGGGUUCUGAGAGGAAGGUCCCCCACAUUGGAACUGAGACACGGUCCAAACUCCUACGGGAGGCAGCAGUGAGGAAUAUUGGUCAAUGGGCGAGAGCCUGAACCAGCCAAGUAGCGUGCAGGAAGACGGCCCUAUGGGUUGUAAACUGCUUUUAUGCGGGGAUAAAGUGAGGGACGUGUCCCUCAUUGCAGGUACCGCAUGAAUAAGGACCGGCUAAUUCCGUGCCAGCAGCCGCGGUAAUACGGAAGGUCCUGGCGUUAUCCGGAUUUAUUGGGUUUAAAGGGAGCGUAGGCUGGAGAUUAAGUGUGUUGUGAAAUGUAGACGCUCAACGUCUGAAUUGCAGUGCAUACUGGUUUCCUUGAGUACGCACAACGUUGGCGGAAUUCGUCGCGUAGCGGUGAAAUGCUUAGAUAUGACGAAGAACUCCGAUUGCGAAGGCAGCUGACGGGAGCGCAACUGACGCUUAAGCUCGAAGGUGCGGGUAUCGAACAGG